rnacentral:rRNA from 1 species
GUAGGUGGCAAGCGUUGUCCGGAAUUAUUGGGCGUAAAGCGCGCGCAGGCGGUUCUUUAAGUCUGAUGUGAAAGCCCACGGCUCAACCGUGGAGGGUCAUUGGAAACUGGAGAACUUGAGUACAGAAGAGGAAAGCGGAAUUCCACGUGUAGCUGUGAAAUGCGUAGAGAUGUGGAGGAACACCAGUGGCGAAGGCGGCUUUCUGGUCUGUAACUGACGCUGAGGCGCGAAAGCGUGGGGAGCAAACAGGAUUAGAUACCCUGGUAGUCCACGCCGUAAACGAUGAGUGCUAAGUGUUAGGGGGUUUCCGCCCCCCUUAGUGCUGCAGCUAACGCAUUAAGCACUCCGCCUGGGAGUACGGCCGCAAGGCUG